AGCUCAUUUCUUUUUGUUGCAGAAUAAUAUUCCAUUGCACGGAGGGUUCACCAUUUAUGUAGUCGUGAAUCUAUUGAAGGACACCUCGUUGCCUCUAGUUUUUGGAGAGGCGAACCUGCAGGAAUCUGUGACUGUAUGUGCACCUUCAAUUUGGUCCAUCGUUUGUGAUUGACUUUCGUGUGGCCCUCCGUGAGAAAGCCAAGGUUAAAUUCACGGCCUACCGAGACCGCACGUGUUUUCAUCUUUUCAGACCCUAGGCUUACCACACAUUUCCUGGGCAUGGAACUGACCGGCCAUCCUGUGCCCUGGUCUUCUAGCAACAGCAUGAAAACGUGUGCGUUCGCAGAUGGAAGAAGUUCACACCAGGCACAAGUUGUAACCAGAUCAUACAAGCAUCGUUUACGCU